rnacentral:rRNA from 1 species
UACGGAGGGUGCAAGCGUUGUUCGGAAUCAUUGGGCGUAAAGCGCGUGUAGGUGGCUUGGCAAGUCGGUUGUGAAAUCCCGGGGCCCAACCCCGGAACUGCAUUCGAAACUGCCUCGCUAGAGUCCCGGAGAGGAAGGCGGAGUUCCCGGUGUAGAGGUGAAAUUCGUAGAUAUCGGGAGGAACACCAGCGGCGAAGGCGGCCUUCUGGACGGUGACUGACACUGAGACGCGAAAGCGUGGGGAGCAAACAGG